rnacentral:rRNA from 1 species
UACGUAGGGUGCAAGCGUUAAUCGGAAUUACUGGGCGUAAAGCGUGCGCAGGCGGUUUAUAUAAGACAGUUUGUGAAAUCCCCGGGCUCAACCUGGGAACUGCAUCUGUGACUGUAUAGCUAGAGUACGGUAGAGGGGAUGGAAUUCCGCGUGUAGCAGUGAAAUGCGUAGAUAUGCGGAGGAACACCGAUGGCGAAGGCAAUCCCCUGGACCUGUACUGACGCUCAUGCACGAAAGCGUGGGGAGCAAACAGG